CUGUGGGAGCUGGCACAAGAGUAGAGCCACUGAUGAGACCAUGAAACCUCAGGAAACCUGCCACACACCCCAUCGAAAAAUUCGAGAAAACUGAGGCUCAGAGAAGUCAGGUAACUUGCCUAAAGUCACAAAGCUGCUCUUCCGUACCAACAUCUGCAAACCCUGUUUUAAAAGAAGAGCCAAGGGCUUCCCUGGUGGCACAGUGGUUAAGAAUCCACCUGCCAAUGCAUGGGACACGUGCCCUGGUCCGGGAAGAUCCCACAUGCCAUGGAGCAACUAAGCCCGUGCGCCACAAAUACUGAGCCUGCCCUCUGGAGCCGGCGAGCCACAACUACUGAGCCUGCAUGCCACAGCUACUGAAGCCCAUGCACGUGGAGCCCGUGCUCCGCAACAAGAGAAGCCACUGCAAUGAGAAGCCUGCGCACCGCAACGAAGAGUAGCCCCCACUCGCCGCAACUAGAGAAAGCCCGCGUGCAGCAACGAAGACCCAACACAGUCAAAAAUAAAUAAAAUA